rnacentral:rRNA from 1 species
CUAAGUUUGAUGGCGACCGGCGCACGGGUGAGUAACACGUAUCCAACCUGCCGAUGACUCGGGGAUAGCCUUUCGAAAGAAAGAUUAAUACCCGAUGGCAUAGUUCUUCCGCAUGGUGGAACUAUUAAAGAAUUUCGGUCAUCGAUGGGGAUGCGUUCCAUUAGGUUGUUGGCGGGGUAACGGCCCACCAAGCCUUCGAUGGAUAGGGGUUCUGAGAGGAAGGUCCCCCACAUUGGAACUGAGACACGGUCCAAACUCCUACGAGGCAGCAUG